rnacentral:rRNA from 1 species
UACGUAGGGGGCUAGCGUUGUCCGGAAUCAUUGGGCGUAAAGCGCGUGUAGGCGGUUCGGUAAGUCCGCUGUGAAAGUCGGGGGCUCAACCCUCGAAUGCCGGUGGAUACUGUCGGACUAGAGUACGGAAGAGGCGAGUGGAAUUCCUGGUGUAGCGGUGAAAUGCGCAGAUAUCAGGAGGAACACCAAUUGCGAAGGCAGCUCGCUGGGACGUUACUGACGCUGAGACGCGAAAGCGUGGGGAGCAAACA